AAACGACUCUCGGCAACGGAUAUCUCGGCUCACGCAUCGAUGAAGAACGUAGCAAAAUGCGAUACUUGGUGUGAAUUGCAGAAUCCCGUGAACCAUCGAGGUUUUGAACGCAAGUUGCGCCCGAAGCCAUUCGGCCGAGGGCACGUCUGCCUGGGCGUCACC
rnacentral:rRNA from 1 species